AGAAUCAACGCUGGCGGCGUGCCUAACACAUGCAAGUCGCACGAGAAAGUGGAGCAAUCCAUGAGUAAAGUGGCGCACGGGUGAGUAACACGUGAAUUAUCUACCUCCGAGUGGGGAAUAACUGAGAGAAAUCUUAGCUAAUACCGCAUAACACUUACGAGUCAAAGCAGCAAUGCGCUUGGAGAGGAGUUCGCGGCCGAUUAGUUAGUUGGCGGGGUAAUGGCCCACCAAGACUGUGAUCGGUA
rnacentral:rRNA from 1 species